GCCCGCGUAGCUCAGGGGAUAGAGCAACCGCCUCCUAAGCGGUAGGUCGCAGGUUCGAAUCCUGCCGCGGGCG
rnacentral:tRNA from 3 species